rnacentral:rRNA from 1 species
UACGUAGGGAGCAAGCGUUGUUCGGAGUUACUGGGCGUAAAGGGUGUGUAGGCGGUUGUUUAAGUUUGGUGUGAAAUCUCCCGGCUCAACUGGGAGGGUGCGCCGAAUACUGAAUGACUUCGAGUGCGGGAGAGGAGAGUGGAAUUCCUGGUGUAGCGGUGAAAUGCGUAGAUAUCAGGAGGAACACCGGUGGUGUAGACGGCUCUCUGGACCGUAACUGACGCUGAGACACGAAAGCGUGGGUAGCAAACAGG